rnacentral:rRNA from 1 species
AUUGAACGCUGGCGGCAGGCCUAACACAUGCAAGUCGAGCGGAGCGGCGGACGGGUGAGUAAUGCCUAGGAAUCUGCCUGGUAGUGGGGGAUAACGUCCGGAAACGGGCGCUAAUACCGCAUACUAUCAGAUGAGCCUAGGUCGGAUUAGCUAGUUGGUGGGGUAAAGGCCUACCAAGGCGACGAUCCGUAACUGGUCUGAGAGGAUGAUCAGUCACACUGGAAAUGGGAACAGGUCCAGACUCCUACGGGAGGCAGGAGGGGGGAAAAUUGGACAAUGGGCGAAAGGCUGAUCCAGCCAGGCCGGGGUGGGGAAGAAGGGCUUCGGAGUGUAAAGCAAUUUAAGUUGGGAGGCGUUACCAACAGAAUAAGCACCGGCUAACUUUGUGCCAGCAGCCGCGGUAAUAC